ACAUAUUCAAAGCAAUAUACAGACAUACUCUAAUCAUUAAUCAUUCAUCAUACAUGAGUAUGGGUCUUACACAAUAGGUGUCCCAGGUUCAGCCUGUCAAUCAAUCCCAGAAGUUAGGAUAACGUCUUCUCUAACUUCUCCCCAUUCUUAACUUGUUUUUAUACUAUUUCUUUAUCUUCAGGAGGAUCUUGAGUGGCUCUAAUCAUGCAUCAUAUUCAGUAAGGGGUAAUUGUACCUUGGAGGUGGGUAACUUUGGGAUGGAGGUGUGCAUCUUACAUCUGAGGUAACUUUGGGAUGGAGAUGUGUAUCUAUCUUACAUCUGAGGAGUGUGAUUUUGUCACAGCUGCUGCUGCAACAAGAAUGGACAGCUUGAACUCUGGCUACAAUGAAGUAGCAUUUGGUCUCUCUACUUGGAAGAUGUCAACUGCACUGCAGUGAUGAAGAUAGCUGUGAGAUCACAUUGAAAGAGAUGCAUAUAACCAACAAUGUACUUGAAUCAAAUUGCAUCUAUGGGGAAGUAAACAAUCUAAAUAAGAAAGUAGAAUAAAAAUGUUAUAGAGGAUGUUACAAAAGAGCUGUUUUUCUAGGUUCACAGGAUCAUCAUUUUAUUGAUGGCUUCCAAGGCACAUUUCAAUGCUCCUGCAGCUGAUAGAAGCUAGUAGUCCUGAAAACAGAAAAGAAAAUGCAAUGUCUUACAAAUCAGUGAAAAACUCUG